CACGUAGGGCGCGAGCGUUGUCCGGAAUUAUUGGGCGUAAAGAGCUCGUAGGCGGCCUGUUGCGUCCGCUGUGAAAGCCCGGGGCUUAACCCCGGGUCUGCAGUGGAUACGGGCAGGCUAGAGGUAGGUAGGGGAGAAUGGAAUUCCCGGUGUAGCGGUGAAAUGCGCAGAUAUCGGGAGGAACACCGGUGGCGAAGGCAGUGCCCUGGCCGACGGCUGACGCUCAGGCGCGAAAGCGUGGGGAGCAAACAGG
rnacentral:rRNA from 1 species